UACGGAGGGGGCAAGCGUUGUUCGGAAUUACUGGGCGUAAAGGGCGCGCAGGCGGCUGCUCAAGUCAGGCGUGAAAGGCCUGGGCUCAACCCGGGAAUUGCGCUUGAGACUGGUCUGGCUUGAGUGCGGGAGAGGAUGGUGGAAUUCCCAGUGUAGAGGUGAAAUUCGUAGAUAUUGGGAAGAACACCGGUGGCGAAGGCGGCCAUCUGGACCGCAACUGACGCUGAGGCGCGAAAGCGUGGGGAGCGAACAGG
rnacentral:rRNA from 1 species